GAGCUGUCCAAAACACAAAGAAUGCACCCUCACUCACACAAAACGCAUGCUUUAUGACCAAGACAUAUUUUGGCCAAAACUCUCAAUUCUGCCCUCCAACAGCUCUAAGCUUGUAAUGACUACUCUAUCCUCUUCCUAAUGCUCUAUAUAACAAGCUCACCCUCUUUAUAUUAGUCCACACACUCCUCAAUCUAGCAAAACCCAGAUAUAAAAGUUUCUUCUCUUCUUCAAGUUUUCAUUCAAGCAACAAAUUUCUCUUGAUACAGUCCCCAUAUCUCAACAUUUUCUCUUCAUUUGGAGCUUAAGGAUCAAGCUCAAUUGGGUUUCUUAUUGCUGUAGCUUGAGGACUUAGUGAAUUUAGUUUUCACUCAAGAUCUCAUUCUAAAUAUCUCUCAUUUUAUCUUCUUUCAACUCAUUACAGACUCUACGUUACAGAAAAUCGCAUUUGAGGAGCUUGUUAUUUUGGUCAUUGGAAUCUCGUUUCGGAAGCAAACUUUUUAGGAGCCCUUGAUGAUUGCAAUUGCAAUUCUGGAAUAUCAAGUUUAUUUUAAAAUCUGAAUUUUUGAAACUUGGUGUUUCUUGUGUUAAUCGAUUUAUGAAAAAUCUGUUUAGAUUUACUCAAAUUUUCUCUCGCUUGUGCUCAUGUACACAAUUGGUCACCGCCGUAUCUCAGCACUCUAGCUUGUGUAUUCAUCACCUAAGUCGUCUUUCACCAGUUACACAUAUCACCAAAGUUCAUUGGAUGUCCUUUCUUCUUUCAUACAAAUGAGCCACAACAAGAUUUAUAAUAAGGAGGAGAAAGAAAAUUUUUGUCAGCACUUAAGGAUUCAGAACUAAACGUCUAAGGAACCAGUCAUAUGAUUAGAAGCUCCAGAAUCAAUAAACCAAGGUUGAGCAACAACAUUUGCAGAAUGAGCGACAACAUUAGACUUACCUUGAAUUCCCAAGGAAGAAAGAGCAGACAAUACCAUUUGUUGGACAUCUUGUGCAGUCAAAACAGUAGCCGCUGAAGCUGUAGGAGCGGAAGAUUGAGCCACUGAAGGAGUAGCAACAUGAAAUGCUUGUACCAAUUUCUUCUCGGGUCUAGUCGGGCACUCUUUGAUGAUGUGACCGUGUUGCUUGCAAUAGUUUCAAAAUUUCUUAUUGCAGUUACGCGCAAUAUGACCAAACUGUUUGCAGGAAAAACAUUGAACUUGUCCCAUAGGACGACCUUUCCCUUUAAUCUGGGCAGAAUAGGCAACAGAAACAGCAUCAGUAGUGAAGUUGUCAUGUGACAUGGCCCUUUGAGUCAAUAGAGACGCUGCUCCUCGCGAAGAAGUUCGCCAAGACACAUGUCUAGAGUAGGAAAUGGACUUCGAUUCAGCAAAGAUGCACGCACUGCUUCAAAUUCAGGUUGAAGUUUCAUAAGAAAUUGAUCUCACUUGCUAACCUCGUAAACUUUUUGAACAGCAGGGAGCGAGUCAGCAGAAACAUUGGCAUGUAAAAUAGCCGAAUGUUCAACCCACAGAUUAAGAAAUCUUGAAUAAUAGUCUUGAAUCGAAAGAUUUCCUUGACAGUAAUUUGCAAUGUCGAGCUCCAACUGAAACCUUUUAGCGGCAUUAUCUUGAUUGUAAACACGCUUUAGAUAGUCCUACAUUUCCUUAGCAGUAGAAAAGGAACGCAAAUUGUUAAUCAUUUAAGGGCCAAUCGAAGCUAGAAUCCAAGUUAUGAUCUGAGCAUCCUUCGUUUGCCAUGCUGCCAGAGCAGCAGCGUCACUAGGUGCAGAGGAGGUGCCAUCUAUAUGGCCCCACAAGCCUUUACCUUUCACAAACAUCUUGAAUUAGAACUCCCACGCUGCAUAAUUUUUGCCAUUAAAAUGAACACAAGAAAUCUCCUUUUCUUUUUCUGUCAACAUGAUGAAUAACACAAUAAACCAAAAAAAAAAACAGACCGACU